GAUGAACGCUGGCGGCGUGCCUAAUACAUGCAAGUCGAGCGAACAGACGAGGAGCUUGCUCCUCUGACGUUAGCGGCGGACGGGUGAGUAACACGUGGAUAACCUACCUAUAAGACUGGGAUAACUUCGGGAAACCGGAGCUAAUACCGGAUAAUAUAUUGAACCGCAUGGUUCAAUAGUGAAAGACGGUUUUGCUGUCACUUAUAGAUGGAUCCGCGCCGCAUUAGCUAGUUGGUAAGGUAACGGCUUACCAAGGCAACGAUGCGUAGCCGACCUGAGAGGGUGAUCGGCCACACUGGAACUGAGACACGGUCCAGACUCCUACGGGAGGCAGCGGUAGGGAAUCUUCCGCAAUGGGCGAAAGCCUGACGGAGCAACGCCGCGUGAGUGAUGAAGGUCUUCGGAUCGUAAAACUCUGUUAUUAGGGAAGAACAAAUGUGUAAGUAACUAUGCACGUCUUGACGGUACCUAAUCAGAAAGCCACGGCUAACUACGUG
rnacentral:rRNA from 1 species